CCUACGGGAGGCAGCAGUGAGGAAUCUUGGACAAUGGGCGAGAGCCUGAUGGAGCAAAGCCGCGUGCAGGAUGAAGGCCUUCGGGUUGUUAACUGCCUUUAUAAGCGAGAUAUAGGGUGGUAAGUUAUGAAUAUGGAACGUCUAACUACGUGCAAGCAGCCGCGGUCAUACGUCGGAUACGAGCAUUAUCCGGAGUUACUGGGGGUUAAGCGGGGCGUAGGGGGGAUAAUAAGUAGCGAGUGAAAUCUCGUGGCUGAACCAUUCGGAGUAUUGGCUAAACUGUGAAGCUCGAGAAUGUUAGAGGUAAGCGGAAUUCGUGGUGUAGCGGUGAAAUGCUUAGAUAUUA
rnacentral:rRNA from 1 species